GUCUUCCUGUCGGGCUUCGUGCGUAUGAAGGCACUGCGCACUCGAACCUUUGGCACACCUCCACGUUAAAAACACAAGCGUCAGUCGCACCGUGACGUCCACAUGCUGCUGUGAGUCAGGACACAACAGCAGGAAAUCCCCAGGCUGAGGAAAAGGACGGGAGUUUCCUUUAAAUCGACGCUUCGUCGGUGUUUUGCCAAGAAGGAGAAAGAGAGAGAAAGAGAGAGAGCUGUGAUCAACAACAACAACAACAACAACAACAACAACACGGUUCCCAGGAGCAGCUUCUACCGGAUCAAACCUUCCGCCGGGGACUCGCUCACAAAGAGGCUGUCGGGACUGUAUCGCUCCUAUUUCCAACGUUUUAUCGUCUCUUACCCACGUUCAUUGUUGAGCGGCAUUGCGGAAGUAAAGAGGGAUUAUCAGAGAGACGACACAAAAGCUGGGGUGUGGCGACAUCUAGUGGCCAGUC